rnacentral:lncRNA from 1 species
ACCUAAAGUUUGAAAUCUGUGCUCUUUCAAAUUUAAUUUAACAAACAUCUUUUGAUUUAUUGAUUGUUUAUGAUGUUCCAGACCAGGCAAGGGGACCUACACAGAGGAUGAAGAAUAGGACAUAUCUUCAAGGGAGGUUCUUAAUGUAGGAGCAAUUUGAAGUGGAUUCAGUUUUAUAGAUAAUAAGCAUGAGAGUAAAGAUCACAGCAGACAUUUGGUUACUAAAGAGUCUUCAGUGGAACUUGAAAGUUUUAAUCCAUCAGAUGUUAAGAAUGAGAUUGCUUUCUGACAUAUCAUUGACCCUGCUGGAGUGUAUCCUGGGAAAUACAGGAAACACAUAACCACGGCUUCUAGCAAAAUUUCAAGUGGUUCUACUAUUGGCAAAGCCCAGCACAAGGUACAGAUGGAAGCUGCCAUAAUAUAUGUCUAGAUAUCUGAAACGUAUGCAUCAAACUUUUA